GAUCCCAGGGACGCCCCCACAGGUAGACGAAGAGGGUCCAGAGAAAGGUGGGGAUUCCCUAACCCCUUCUUUCUUGGCACAGACAGGCAGAGAACACCUCUUUUCUCACCCCUGGGCAGCCCCAGGAAGUCAAUCCUUCCACUAUUCCUGCUCCGUGCCUCUCUUCCCUCUGCCCAGAUUCCUGGGAGACUCAAAACCCUGUUCAACUCUCUCUGGGCUAGCUGCUCCCCUCCCCAAGAGGAUUUCUCUCCAGAGCUGGUAUCAUCGCUUAAUGAUGUUCCACCAACAAGGGGAAGGUUUCUUUUCUGGGAGCUGCUAUCACUGAAUACAUAAAGAAAUUGAGCCUAUAUGAUUUCAAUCUUCACCUUCUGAUGCUGAUGAAACAGGAUUCUAUGCAGAGAAAAUCCUCUCCAGUCAAGUAAUUGCAUCCAUUUCAUCUUCCCAGCCCUCCUCUAGAUGGGAGGUGGAGGUGUGUGUACCAAUCUCUUAAUUCAGAAAUGAGACAAGAGGAGGAAAAAGGAGUUCCGGAGGACAGUGGGGACCCCAGCCAGAGCCUGGGGACUUGGCUGCCUUGGAACCAGAACCUGGCCCCUCAGAGGAGUUGCAGAAUUUCGAUAGAGGAGUGGCAGGAGGUGUACUGGCUGAAGAGGAGGCCCAAGGAACUCCUUUUCAUACAUCAAAACUGAGCUUAUCACCUCUACCCUGAAGUCAUCCUGGACAUCACUGGUCCCAGUUAAUCACUCACUUAUCUUUGCCAUCCUUGACCUGGGAAGAGAACGUUGCCCUCAUUGGUCUGGAAUCAGCAGGUACCUCAUGGCUGGAGGUGUAUUUUCAGGUGGG
rnacentral:lncRNA from 1 species